UCUUGGUAUAGAUAGUAUAUGUAUUUUUAAAAGGCUAUCUUUUUAAUCUCCAUUUUAUAGAUGAAGAAAUCAAGACGACUCAGAGGGAUGAAAUGAAUUGAAAACAAGAGGGGAAUGGGAAAUUUGGGCAAAUGGUCUGUGAAAUAGGAAGAGAGGGAGGGAAGGAGGAAGAAAGGAGGGGAAGAAGGAAGACAGGAAAGAAAGAAGGAAGGAAGACAGGAAAGAAGGAAGGAAGGAAGCAAGGAAGGAAGAAAGAAGAAAGGAAAGAAAAAAGAAGCUCCGUCAUAGGAACAAAGAAAGUUUCCAGAUAGUGCCUUGAUAUCUAAGAUCCUUGAGGAGGGAGAUUCCCCUUCCAAACAAUAACUACUCUCUUCCCUCUUCACCAUCUUCCAUAUGCCAAGAAGAGUCUUCAGAAGAGUGA
rnacentral:lncRNA from 1 species